rnacentral:rRNA from 1 species
AUUGAACGCUGGCGGCAGGCCUAACACAUGCAAGUCGAGCGGAUGAAGGGAGCUUGCUCCUGGAUUCAGCGGCGGACGGGUGAGUAAUGCCUAGGAAUCUGCCUGGUAGUGGGGGAUAACGUCCGGAAACGGGCGCUAAUACCGCAUACGUCCUGAGGGAGAAAGUGGGGGAUCUUCGGACCUCACGCUAUCAGAUGAGCCUAGGCCGGAUUAGCUAGUUGGUGGGGUAAAGGCCUACCAAGGCGACGAUCCGUAACUGGUCUGAGAGGCUGAUCAGUCACACUGGAACUAGAGCACAGACCCGACUCCUACGGGAGGCAGCAGUGGGGAAUAUUGGACGCUCAGCGAAAGCCUGAUCAAGCCAAGCCGCGUGAGUGAAGAAAGACUUAGCAUUGUAAAGCACUCCAAGUUGGGAAGAAAGGAAGUAAGUUAAUACCUAGCUGUUUUGACGUUACCAACAGAAUCAGCACCGGCUAACUUCGUG